rnacentral:lncRNA from 1 species
CUACAAAGGAGUGGAGACGCAGGAACGGGCAGAGAGAGAAGGCAAACUGCGAUGCAGCUGCAACGGAGCUCAGCCUGUCCCACAGGAGCUCUGGAACUGGGAUGGCCCAUCAGAGUUGUCCCAGAUUGACGCAAGGGGAUCAGACCUUUGUAUCCCCACAUCAACCAGGCAUUGGAUGUGGGAUGCCCCGAGAGGAGAGGCAUAACCUUGGGCGAGGAGGUUUCCUUCCACACGGGGCACAGCACUCCUUCCAGGCUGAAGGAGGGACCCAGCCAUGACACAUCGGUAGCCAUGCUCAGAAGCUGGCAGCCUGAGUGCCUCUCUGAACGGUGGCACAUCACAGCAUCCGCUACAGCACCUUAACAGUGCAGGGCUGACAUUCACCAGGCACAAGGUGGGACGUGGAGGUGAUUCAGGGCACGGACUUCAAAAUCAGAUUCGCCAAGGAGGUAUGCCAUCUACCCCUGGGCAACUGCCUUGCCCUCAUCUGAACCAGUGGCCUCUUUUUCAGAACCUUGUGGUCUCUACUAUUCCAGAAACAGCAAAUAUAGUGAAGGAUUAUUCUACAUCUGACAUCAUGAGGCGCUGGAGAGAGCAGACAGCAAAACGGGGUCUCUACUCCCAGAAGCUUUCAUUCCAGUUGGAGGCACAGAAGAGCACGGAGUGAGAUUAGCACGGGCAUGAAGGGAUCCAAGGUAACCACUCAAUCCACCCAGCGAGGCUGCCGCCUUAGGAGGAGACGCUACAUGAACACUGUCAGGGAACGAGCUACAGGAAGCAGCUAAAGUCUGACACCGCUGCAAGGAUAACUACGAUAGCAAUGCGAAUGCAUUAUUCCCAGAGAAAGAAAAGAGCUAAAGAAAUCAGCCUUCCCAGACAAAAAGGAUAGGCACUUAAAGCUGGAAAAAAAAAAAAAAAAAAAGAAUCCUGAAAUCUUGAUGACAGAAAAAAGCUUUUGGUUUUCACUGACAUGUGUGAUAUUUAUUUAUGAGUCUUCAUUAUGAAAAUAUUUUUGGCCAGGCACAGUGGCUCAUGCUUGUAAUCCCAGCAAUUUGGGAAACUGAGACGGGUGGAUCUUUUGAGGUCAGGAGUUCGAGACCAGCCUGGCCAACAUGGUAAAACCCUGUCUCUACUAAAAAUACAAAAACUAGCUGGGUGUGGUGGUGGGCACCUGUAAUUCCAGGAGAGGCUGAAUUACAGGAGGCUCUGUAAUUCAGCCUCCGUAAUUCUGAAUUACGGGAGGCUGAGACAGGAGAAUCACUAGAACCUGUGAGGUAGAAGCUGCAGUGAAC